CCUACGGGAGGCUGCAGUGGGGGAUAUUGGACAAUGGGGGGAACCCUGAUCCAGCGACGCCGCGUGAGUGAAGAAGUAUUUCGGUAUGUAAAGCUCUGUCAGCAGGGAAGAAAGAAAUGACGGUACCUGACCAAGAAGCCCCGGCUAACUACGUGCCAGCAGCCGCGGUAAUACGUAGGGGGCAAGCGUUAUCCGGAAUUACUGGGUGUAAAGGGAGCGUAGACGGUUAAGUAAGUCUGGAGUGAAAGGCCGGGGCCCAACCCCGGGACUGCUCUGGAAACUAUUGAACUUGAGUGCAGGGGAGGUAAGCGGAAUUCCUAGUGUAGCGGUGAAAUGCGUAGAUAUUAGGAGGAACACCAGUGGCGAAGGCGGCUUACUGGACUGUAACUGACGUUGAGGCUCGAAAGCGUGGGGAGCAAACAGGAUUAGAUACCCUAGUAGUC
rnacentral:rRNA from 1 species